rnacentral:rRNA from 1 species
UGUAAGGUCGGGGCGGCGGGGGGGAGAAGAAGGGGGUGGUAAGCGUUGUUUGGGAUUGUUGUGCGGUAAGGGCGGGUAGGCGGGUUGUUAUGUCGGGUGUGAAAGCCCUCAGCUUAACUGAGGAAGUGCGCCCGAAACUGGCAAGCUUGAGUGCCGGAGAGGAUAGCGGAACACCCGGUGUAGAGGUGAAAUUCGUAGAUAUCGGGUAGAACACCAGUGGCGAAGGCGGCUAUCUGGACGGACACUGACGCUGAGACGCGAAAGCGUGGGGAGCAAACAGGAUUAGAUACCCUUGUAGUC